UACGAAGGGGGCUAGCGUUGUUCGGAAUCACUGGGCGUAAAGCGUGCGUAGGCGGCUGCGCAAGUCGGUUGUGAAACCCCGGGGCUCAACCCCGGAACUGCAUCCGAUACUGCGUGGCUAGAGGUAGGUAGGGGAGAUCGGAAUUCCUGGUGUAGCGGUGAAAUGCGCAGAUAUCAGGAGGAACACCGGUGGCGAAGGCGGAUCUCUGGGCCUUACCUGACGCUCAGGCACGAAAGCUAGGGGAGCGAACAGG
rnacentral:rRNA from 1 species